UAAGUGCAGAUUCUCAUCCAGGAUGAUGCAGUUUGACAAUUUCCAUGGAGGUGAUUGUUGAUGAUAAAUAAUUGGUGAAGUAGGCUUAAUAGAACAGUGCCUGGAUCACAAAGAGAAAUACAAACUACAGCAGUUAUAUGAGACUGGUGUAACAGAUGUUUUCAUUCAAGAAAUC
rnacentral:lncRNA from 1 species